GACGAACGCUGGCGGCGUGCUUAACACAUGCAAGUCGAACGGAAAGGCCCUGCUUUUGUGGGGUUCUCGAGUGGCGAACGGGUGAGUAACACGUGAGUAACCUGCCCUUGACUUUGGGAUAACUUCAGGAAACUGGGGCUAAUACCGGAUAUGAGCUCCUGCUGCAUGGUGGGGGUUGGAAAGUUUCGGCGGUUGGGGAUGGACUCGCGGCUUAUCAGCUUGUUGGUGGGGUAGUGGCUUACCAAGGCUUUGACGGGUAGCCGGCCUGAGAGGGUGACCGGCCACAUUGGGACUGAGAUACGGCCCAGACUCCUACGGGAGGCAGCAGUGGGGAAUAUUGCACAAUGGGCGGAAGCCUGAUGCAGCAACGCCGCGUGCGGGAUGACGGCCUUCGGGUUGUAAACCGCUUUCGCCUGUGACGAAGCGUGAGUGACGGUAAUGGGUAAAGAAGCACCGGCUAACUACGUG
rnacentral:rRNA from 1 species